UACGAAGGGGGCUAGCGUUGUUCGGAAUUACUGGGCGUAAAGGGCGCGUAGGCGGUGUGUCAAGUCAGGCGUGAAAGCCCCGGGCUCAACCUGGGAACCGCGCUUGAGACUGGCACGCUCGAGUUCGGGAGAGGAUGGUGGAAUUCCCAGUGUAGAGGUGAAAUUCGUAGAUAUCAGGAGGAGCACCGAUGGCGAAGGCAGGUCUCUGGGCCACUACUGACGCUGAGAAGCGAAAGCAUGGGGAGCGAACAGG
rnacentral:rRNA from 1 species